rnacentral:misc_RNA from 1 species
GGAAGUAAAAGUGUAACAAGGUUUCCGUAGGUGAACCUGCGGAAGGAUCAUUAUUGUAUAACCGAGGUGCGAGGGCAGUCGCUGACCCGAAAGGUCGUGCACGCCCGAGUGCCCUCACACACAUCCAUCUCACCCCUAUGUGCACCACCGCGUGGGUCCCCCUUUGGCUUGUUCGGAGGGGGGCUUACGUUUUCACACAAACUUUGUAUGCAGUGUAGAAUGUAUUUUUUGUUUUUGCGAUCACGCAAUCAAUACAACUUUCAACAACGGAUCUCUUGGCUCUC